GCACGGUCUUCUCGGAGUCGGGUUGUUUGAGAAUGCAGCCCAAAGCGGGUGGUAAACUACAUCUAAGGCUAAAUACCGGCACGAGACCGAUAGUCGAUAAGUACCUUAAGGGAAAGUUGAAAAGAACUUUGAAGAGAGAGUUCAAGAGGGUGUGAAACCGUUAAGAGGUAAACGGGAGAAACCUGAAAGGUCG